UACGAAGGGUGCAAGCGUUGUUCGGAAUUACUGGGCGUAAAGAGCGCGUAGGCGGUUUAUUAAGUCAGACGUGAAAGCCCUGGGCUCAACCCGGGAAUUGCGUUUGAUACUGGUAGGCUUGAGAUUCAGAGAGGUGAGUGGAAUUCCUAGUGUAGCAGUGAAAUGCGUAGAUAUUAGGAGGAACAUCAGUGGCGAAGGCGGCUCACUGGCUGAAUACUGACGCUAAGGCGCGAAAGCGUGGGGAGCAAACAGG
rnacentral:rRNA from 1 species